rnacentral:rRNA from 1 species
AACGUAGGACACAAGCGUUAUCCGGAAUUAUUGGGCGUAAAGAGCUCGUAGGCGGUGUGUCGCGUCGGCCGUGAAAACCUGCAGCUUAACUGUGGGCUUGCGGUCGAUACGGGCAUCACUGGAGUUCGGCAGGGGAGACUGGAAUUCCUGGUGUAGCGGUGAAAUGCGCAGAUAUCAGGAGGAACACCGGUGGCGAAGGCGGGUCUCUGGGCCGAUACUGACGCUGAGGAGCGAAAGCGUGGGGAGCGAACAGG